GACGAACGCUGGCGGCGUGCCUAAUACAUGCAAGUAGAACGCACAGUUUACACCGUAGCUUGCUACACCAUAAACUGUGAGUUGCGAACGGGUGAGUAACGCGUAGGUAACCUGCCUGGUAGCGGGGGAUAACUAUUGGAAACGAUAGCUAAUACCGCAUAAUAUUGAUUAUUGCAUGAUAAUUGAUUGAAAGAUGCUAUUGCAUCACUACCAGAUGGACCUGCGUUGUAUUAGCUAGUAGGUGAGGUAACGGCUCACCUAGGCGACGAUACAUAGCCGACCUGAGAGGGUGAUCGGCCACACUGGGACUGAGACACGGCCCAGACUCCUACGGGAGGCAGCAGUAGGGAAUCUUCGGCAAUGGACGAAAGUCUGACCGAGCAACGCCGCGUGAGUGAAGAAGGUUUUCGGAUCGUAAAGCUCGGUUGUAAGAGAAGAACGGGUGUGAGAGUGGAAAGUUCACACUGUGACGGUAUCUUACCAGAAAGGGACGGCUAACUACGUG
rnacentral:rRNA from 1 species